GUUGACCUCAUGCGCGUCAAGUUUAAGUCUUACGAUUAAUUGCUGGAGAGAGGCGGCACGAAUUUUUCCAUUUUUCUUUGCGAAUGAAUUAUGCAUUUACGGGGCUUGUUAUUAACUGGUCCAUAUGCUGAGUAGGUUUUGAUUUUUGGCCCCUUUUUUUCGUGAGUACCUUUUGUGCAUUGGUUUGGUUUGCUCUCAAAUGCAAAUAAAAUAUGACAUUAACAAAUUCUUGAUUGUUAUAGAGGAGUUAGACGUUGCCUUCAACUUCAUUUAAAUACUGUCGUUUUGUAGUGCAGUUGCCCUAACAGCUGUACCGAAGCCCAGAGCCUUGGCUGAGGGAGGCAACGUCUGCCCAGAAGAGAGAUAUGGGAAAAUGAGGAAUGGACAGCCCUCCAGUUUAUAACAGGAUGAUGAAGGCAAAGUCCUCUGAUGUAGAAUCCAACAACCCGUAUAGAUAAAAGAAUAAUUGCUGAAAUGAAAGGUUUUCUGACAGAUGUUAAACGAAAAAAAAUGGUGCGAUGAAUAUCAUUAGUAAAUCGUUAUAGUUGUAAACUAUAGGAAUCAUUUUGUACCAAACUGCC